rnacentral:rRNA from 1 species
UUUAUGGAGAGUUUGAUCCUGGCUCAGGAUGAACGCUGGCGGCGUGCCUAAUACAUGCAAGUCGAGCGAACGGACGAGAAGCUUGCUUCUCUGAUGUUAGCGGCGGACGGGUGAGUAACACGUGGAUAACCUACCCAUAAGACUGGGAUAACUUCGGGAAACCGGAGCUAAUACCGGAUAAUAUUUUGAACCGCAUGGUUCAAAAGUGAAAGACGGUCUUGCUGUCACUUAUGGAUGGAUCCGCGCUGCAUUAGCUAGUUGGUAAGGUAACGGCUUACCAAGGCAACGAUGCAUAGCCGACCUGAGAGGGUGAUCGGCCACACUGGAACUGAGACACGGUCCAGACUCCUACGGGAGGCAGCAGUAGGGAAUCUUCCGCAAUGGGCGAAAGCCUGACGGAGCAACGCCGCGUGAGUGAUGAAGGUCUUCGGAUCGUAAAACUCUGUUAUUAGGGAAGAACAUAUGUGUAAGUAACUGUGCACAUCUUGACGGUACCUAAUCAGAAAGCCACGGCUAACUACGUGCCAGCAGCCGCGGUAAUACGUAGGUGGCAAGCGUUAUCCGGAAUUAUUGGGCGUAAAGCGCGCGUAGGCGGUUUUUUAAGUCUGAUGUGAAAGCCCACGGCUCAACCGUGGAGGGUCAUUGGAAACUGGAAAACUUGAGUGCAGAAGAGGAAAGUGGAAUUCCAUGUGUAGCGGUGAAAUGCGCAGAGAUAUGGAGGAACACCAGUGGCGAAGGCGACUUUCUGGUCUGUAACUGACGCUGAUGUGCGAAAGCGUGGGGAUCAAACAGGAUUAGAUACCCUGGUAGUCCACGCCGUAAACGAUGAGUGCUAAGUGUUAGGGGGUUUCCGCCCCUUAGUGCUGCAGCUAACGCAUUAAGCACUCCGCCUGGGGAGUACGACCGCAAGGUUGAAACUCAAAGGAAUUGACGGGGACCCGCACAAGCGGUGGAGCAUGUGGUUUAAUUCGAAGCAACGCGAAGAACCUUACCAAAUCUUGACAUCCUU